UUUUUUACAACUCAAAUAUGUAAUCGUUUUUGCUAUGAAAAUAAAUGAUGUUUCAAAUCGUUUUUGCUAUAAAAGAAGCGUACUCACCUUAGCCGCCGAGAAAGUCACCUUUUGAUCUCCGUUUUCCCUCUCUGGUAGUCGGCGCUCCUCGCUGCUGCCGUGAGAGGGCCAUGUUGUUUCUUGUAUUUAGUUGUUGUUUCUCGUCUGUGGUUUUGUUGGAUAAGCUUCAAAGACUUGGAGCCUAAGAUAUCUUUAUCAAGUUGGAUAAAGACAAGAGAGGUUCAUUAUAAACCUUCUAGAGUUAGGAGUUAUCUAGUUCUAUUAGGAAUAGGAUUAACAAGUUGUGUUAAGACUAUAAAUAUCAUGAUCGGGAUGUGAUCAUUGAUGUGUGCUUUGGGUGUUUAGUUUUGAGAUAUUUUCUAAACAUUAAUAAGAGAGUGAUUCUUAUAACAAAGUGUGCAUUAGUUUCUUUUAGGUUUGGCUUGAUCUGAUUUAGUUCAAUGAAGAAGUUGGUUUUGAUAGGGUAGUUUUUGUUUAUUGGAGAGCGGUGAUUCUCCUUCCUCAACGGUAGUGGUUCAUCUUGUUGGGGAUUAGGAUUUUGUUUGGGCUUGGUUAAAUCUUUGGCUCGUCCCAUCUCUAAUUGAUGCUUUCAAAGCCCUUGGUUUAGACAAUACUGGUUCUAGGUGGGCGUUUAUCUUCUGGUCCCAUUGUCGUACUUGCGCUCGUUUUCUUAGCCGGGUAAGCAGAUCUCUUGGUCUGGCUUCUUCUUGAUCUGCUAGAUUUGGUCUGGUUUUUCUCCGCCUUCUAAGGUUGUUUGGUGUCGUUUUAAUCUGCUAGUUCUAGCCUUCUUAGUUGUCGUGAGACUUGAUUCGAUGGAAGUCUUUCAACUUUUGGGGUUUGAUUAUGGAUCUUAGCUCUACCUCUUAGUUUGAUCCUCUUGCUUGUUCGUUGGUGAGUUGUGGACUGGGUUUGUUCUUGGUGUUUGCCUCUCAGAUGUUUUUUUUGUUGCUUAGCCACCUAUUAGCCUAUCUUCUUUAGAGUUAGGUUUUGGGCGAAACAAUGGAUUCGGUCUUUAGCUUUUCUCUUGCGAGGAGAUCACAAUUUCAAGUGUAUAGGUGGUUAAAACUGGUUCGACGAGUGUCCGCAUGUAAGAGCUGUUGAUCCUCUUUGGCUUAUCUCCAGUCGAUUUCCAAGGUGUCUUGCCUUGUUCCUAGUGUCUUGUCCUCUCCUCGUUUGGCUGGUGAGGUAUGAUGUGUUGUAUUUGUGUCGCUGGUCACGUUUGAUUCUUGCUUUCCUCCCUGUCGGUCUGCUUCUGAUUUGACUUUGGUGUGAGGUCUUCCACUCUUAUUGGAGCUGUCGUCGUUAACAUUUUCUAUAGGGAAGCUUAGUAUGAUUCUAUCUUGCCUUUGCUCAAUCCUAGUGCUUGAAUGCAUUUCCUCCUAGAAUUUUUGUUUCCUCUUUAGAAUUUUGCUUCUUUGUUCACUCUAAUAUGUUUCCUUGUAACUUGAAGUUGUAUUUCCCUCUUUUGGGCCAAUGUCUCCGGGGACAUUUUGUAGUCCGUCGGCUUAUGUAUUUCAACUUGGAUCUAUCUUUGGAUUGUUAUUAAAAUUUCAGAUGACAAAAAAAAAAAAAUCUCCAAUUUCCAAUACGCCAUUUAAAUACCAAAUUUAAAAGUUUAUGAUUCUUUUUGUGGAAUUUAAAAUUGUGGAUGUUAAUACAUAUUUUGAUGAUACUAAAAGAAUCAUAUUCAACAAACAGUUAAGUGUUUGUUCAACAAGACUAUUCCACCCAAAAAAAGAC
rnacentral:lncRNA from 1 species